GGGAGAGCUGCUUCUUGUCUUAGUCAUCUCCAGUCUUGAUGGCUAAUCUGGAAGAGCAUCUUCAGGGAGAUACUUCCUGGGUUCCAGACCUCAGAACAGGCUGUGUGGCAUGGGGUAUGGUGGCAGGCGACUCAGCCACCAAAGCUUUUUCCUGGCUUCGGGGGUUUAUUUUUAGACACCUCUGUCCAAAUUUCCCGGCCUCUGACUGCUUCACAAGUUGGCUGGUUUUGACGUCAUCUCUUUGAUGAAAGCCCUUUCUUUCCCCUCCCCUCCUGUGGGAGCCUGUUAGCUGUGCUCUGGGCUCUGUUUUACUGGGGUGGGGGCAGGGAUAAAAAGCCAGAGGUUUAGGGCAGUGUGAGGGUCAUCCCUGUCCUGUGUUUAGCCUGACUUUGGUUUCUGGAGAACUAAAAUGAAGGGAAGAUGAAGAAGAGCCUGGUUGGCCAUAGCCUAUAAUCUACAGGAGGUGGCCCUGUGCCUCUCAGCACAAGAGAUGGAACAGAGAGUAAGGCUGCCUCCCACCCCUGCCUCUUCCCACUGCCCUGUGGUCAGAGAAAGGCUACUAAUGAGACUCCAGCACUUAGGAUUCUCCCAGCCCCAGCUGACUAUUGUUGACUUUGUACACACACACCCUACACGUCCCCCUCCUUCCCCCUCUCUCUGAAUAUGGGAUUGCUAUAAAUGUUCUUCAGAUGAAGUGACAGCAGCCAUCAGCACUCUCCUGAGGAAUGAAGAGGGCUUAUCUGAUCAUGUUGCCAACAUCGGGGAGGAUUGACUUGACAGUCUCACUGCUGCUGCAGACGCUGUGGUGGGACAUUGGAGAUCUCAUGGGACAGCAAAGGACUUGAGGGUCACUACAAGGAGCCUAAAGAGAAGGUCCCCUGGUUUCUGGAAGGGAUGGCUGUAACCCAUCUUUGUGAUCUGUGUGACAGCCUCUGGCUCUCUGGCCAGCCUUCCUCAGAUUGACAACCUAGUAGACUGAGCUAUAGGAGCUGGAAUUUACGUCUUCAAAAAUACUACUAGACACCUCCAGACUGAGCACUCUGGGACAGCCUAGGUAAGGGCUGCCUGAGUACCAGUGGCCAUCUAUGUAUAUAAAGGAUGUCCCAGCUUGGCUAGGCUGUGGUCUCUGGGACAGGAGGAAACUACUCCUUCUGUCCCAGGCAGGAGACAGCUUCAAGCAGCUACAGGAGGAAACUGAAUUCCUUCAAAUUAUAAGACUACAGAAGAGCUAGGAUCUAAAUAUGAGUGUAGAGCAAUGGCAAUAUCCCCAAGUUGACCUCAGGGUAGAACCAGUCUGAAUGGUAGAAAUAGGGGUGCUGUGUGUGGGAUUGCAUAUGAAAGGUCCUAGCAUGGUCCAUGGCUCCUGCCUGACUUAAGCAGUUGAUUGGGAUCAUUGAGAGGAUUAAACUGGCCUGACCGAGCCAUCUGACUACCCUGCCCCUUGCUAUUCCCCCUUCAGCAAGGUUCAGAAUCUAUUCCAUAAACCCUCUCCUCUAGGGUCUUUUAUAUCCAAAAGUUAUUUUUAAAAAUUACAUAGGUACCUUCUCCCAAGUUUAGGGAAACAGUGUUGUUCACACAAUGGCUGGAAGUAGGCAGGCCCCAGAAACCACGUGGUCAUUUCACUAUAGUAUUAGAAAGAGAGCUACAGGAGGAGUUGCCAAAGAAGGUGGUGUCCUUAUGAGGGGGACCGUGGAGGCCGAGACCUGGGACAGCUGGAUUGACUGGUAGCUCUGACAGGGGCUUAGAGUGGGAAGGAAGUCAUACUUCUCACACUGCUCUGUGGUGGGAACUAAAGACAAUGCUGAGGUACCCAGCUGUGGCUGGCAGCUUAGACCUCUCCUGUUUCAACUGUAAUAGCAGUGCCUAAAGGUUCUUUAAUCCAGCUGGUGUCUUAGCCUUUUGUUCAGAAGAGGAUUUCUGAGCCUCAACUGGUUUGUAAAUUUCUGUACUAGUUGAACCCCUGGGAAGAUCCCCCUCUGCCCCUGCCAGAUACAGGAUUAUUCUGGAUUCUGAAGAUGCUGCGUAGCUCAGUGUAGGCAGAACAGAGGACAGCAUUUGUUUCUGGAGAAGUAUCACUCUGAUUGGAGACUGGAGCUGAGUGGAUGCCUUAGGAUGUCUGUCUGGAGCAGAGACAACAGAACUUUUAAGUGGUGGGUGCUUGUUUGACCAGCUAGGAUCUCAGGAGCAGCGGCACGGUGAGGUGCUUGUGAACGCGAGUCAGCCUGAUGAACUGGACGGCGCUUACAGCAAGCAGCCCACUCAGGAACUUGGUUCUGCCUGCCAGGAUCCGAACCCUGUAUUUGUGUCCUCUUAGCCUGCCUCGUCAUGUCUGAGGUAGUGAGUGCGUGGGGCUGGGUCCAGAACAUGAGUGGAGAGAUAUUAGGUCCUGGCUGUGGGAAUCCAGAUGAGGGAGCCCUGUGGGAAAUUUGAGAUCUGGUCAUUCUCCCUCUCUCUCCCCCCCCCCCCUCUCCCUCCCUCUGUCCCUCUCCCUUUCUCCUUUGCUACCACCUUGGCCCAGCUAACGUGAUGAGGUUCUUAGCUUCACUUUAAUAAGGAGCUAGGCUACAGUCAGGCCCAGCGUGGAGCAUGUGCUUAGCACACACAGGCCAUCUCCUUCCCUAGCACCAACAAUCAAAGGGAAGGUGGAGGCCCUCUUGACAUUCAGCUUGGUCUCUUAUUCAGGAUUAUUUGCUGACCCUUCCUAUGGAUGGGGAUUGGUUAGAAGAUAAUCAUGGAAGUCUUGAGAGAUGCCAGAGGCCCAGAGAAGGGGAGGUUACCUAAGGUCAGGGGAUGAAGUAGUGGCUGCAUCCAGGCAUGAGUGGAGGUGGAACCAAGAGGCAGAAAAGUUGUGAGUUUGGGCUAUACUUGGAAUGGUGCCACGGUGGGUCUGACAGGACAGGAACUUGUACCAGCUUGACGCUCGGUCUCCAGCACUGAUUGUUACUGUGGAGCCCGAGGGUGCUGCUCUGUCUUCCCAUUUUCCCAGCAGGCACUCAUUAAUGGCGGUCUUGCAGCUGCUCAGGCAGGAAGCAGCUGCUCCAGGCACCCGAUUGGGCUUGAUCUCCUCAUCUCGGUGAGACGGAGGCUGCUUCGUUCCUGGGCUUCUCUCACUGGGUCUCUAGAGCCAGGUCAGCCGGCAGAGCCACAACCUGCUAAUUGGCCUGCGCCUGCACGAAGAGGAGGGUACUCUUGGUAGCCCAGGACAUUAGGUUAGAUGACGAGCCCCUAGAGUCUUUCUCAUUCCCAUCGUCGGGAGCUUAGCCAUGUCUGGGAGUAGGAAGGAGAGAGGAGGAAUAGGCUCACAGAGAGGUACAGGCAGCCAUUUUGGCAUGGUAGUAAGGAUAGGCCAUGUUGUUUAGGGGGAAGACCCCUCCAGAAGAGACAUUAGAAUCCCCUUGAGGCUAGAGUGCCCAGGUGGAGCACCAGACUUUAUACCCCAAAGAUUGGGUGGGUCCUGCAAGUACCAGGGAGCCACAGAUGUUAUCUGAGUUUCUGCCAUCAUGCCAAGGGAUAUAUCUUCUGAGUGACAGUGUCCAGGCUGGGUUUAGAGCCAGACAUUGAGUGCUAGCAGAUGAGAAGGGAUAACUGGAUAGUUAGUGAGAGAAGCAGAACUUAUCUGGGGAUAGUAGUGACUCUUUAUUCCUAGAUGAUCAAGCC
rnacentral:lncRNA from 1 species